GUCAUCGAAUCUUUGAACGCACCUUGCGCUCCCUGGUAUUCCGGGGAGCACGCCUGUUCGAGUGUCGUGAAUACCUCAAGCUGGAUGCUUUAUUGCUAUCUCAGGCUUGGAUUUGGGCUUUGCCGCAAGCCUUCAGUGGCGACGGCUGGUCUUAAAUGCAUUAGCUGGCCCAUGUUUUGUACACUUGGUUCUACUCGGCGUGAUAAGUAUAUGACCGCCGAGGACAUCUCCGCCCACAAAGCGAGGAUGGCCGAGAGUGCCUUGGAUCGCUUCUAAUCGUCUUCACCGACAAACAUUUUUCAACUUUGACCUCGAAUCAGGUGGGACUACCCGCUGAACUUAAGCAUAUCAAUAAGCGGAGG
rnacentral:rRNA from 1 species